rnacentral:rRNA from 1 species
CAAAAACAUCGCCUCUUGUGAAAUAAAAAUAAGAGGUCCCACCUGCCCUGUGACAUAUGUUUAACGGCCGCGGUAUUUUGACCGUGCAAAGGUAGCGCAAUCACUUGUCUUUUAAAUGAAGACCUGUAUGAAUGGUAUAACGAAGGCUUAGCUGUCUCCUUUCCCCGGUCAAUGAAAUUGAUCUCCCCGUGCAGAAGCGGGGAUAAAAACAUAAGACGAGAAGACCCUAUGGAGCUUAAGACAAAAUAGUAGUCCAUAUAAAGUAACUUCAAAUAAAAGGUUAUAUUUUUUGCCUCCUGCUUGAAUGUCUUUGGUUGGGGCGACCGCGGGGAAAUAAAUAACCCCCAUGUGGAUUGAGAGAACCUCUCCCAAAACCAAGAGUCACCACUCUAAGUAACAGAACCUCUGACCAAAAUGAUCCGGUAAACACCGAUCAACGAACCGAGUUACCCUAGGGAUAACAGCGCAAUCCCCUUCCAGAGCCCAUAUCGACAAGGGGGUUUACGACCUCGAUGUUGGAUCAGGACAUCCUAAUGGUGCAGCCGCUAUUAAGGGUUCGUUUGUUCAACGAUUAAAGUCCUACGUGAUCUGAGUUCAGACCGGAGUAA